AUGAACGCUGGCGGCGUGCCUCAUACAUGCAAGUCGCGCGCACGGACGAGAAGCUUGCUUCUCUGAUGUUAGCGGCGGACGGGUGAGUAACACGUGGAUAACCUACCUAUAAGACUGGGAUAACUUCGGGAAACCGGAGCUAAUACCGGAUAAUAUUUUGAACCGCAUGGUUCAAAAGUGAAAGACGGUCUUGCUGUCACUUAUAGAUGGAUCCGCGCUGCAUUAGCUAGUUGGUAAGGUAACGGCUUACCAAGGCAACGAUGCAUGGCCGACCUGAGAGGGUGAUCGGCCACACUGGAACUGAGACACGGUCCAGACUCCUACGGGAGGCAGCAGUAGGGAAUCUUCCGCAAUGGGCGAAAGCCUGACGGAGCAACGCCGCGUGAGUGAUGAAGGUCUUCGGAUCGUAAAACUCUGUUAUUAGGGAAGAACAUAUGUGUAAGUAACUGUGCACAUCUUGACGGUACCUAAUCAGAAAGCCACGGCUAACUACGUG
rnacentral:rRNA from 1 species